UACGUAGGGUCCGAGCGUUGUCCGGAAUUACUGGGCGUAAAGAGCUCGUAGGUGGUUUGUCGCGUUGUUCGUGAAAACUCACAGCUUAACUGUGGGCGUGCGGGCGAUACGGGCAGACUUGAGUACUGCAGGGGAGACUGGAAUUCCUGGUGUAGCGGUGGAAUGCGCAGAUAUCAGGAGGAACACCGGUGGCGAAGGCGGGUUGCUGGGCCGACACUGACGCUGAGGCGCGAAAGCCAGGGGAGCAAACGGG
rnacentral:rRNA from 1 species